GCAGGGCUCUCCCAGACCAGGCACUGAGCAGCCGCAGCCCACAGGCAGCAGGCCCCUUCUGCACCCUUGUCUGCCCAUCCCAGCUCUUUGCUCCUCCCUGCUCCCUCUUCCCUGCACACCUCCUCGGUGCCUGGCAUAGUCUCACUGACCCACUGCAGCAUCCUGGAGCCUCAGCUUUACAUCCUUAUCCUUUGCAGAUUUCCAGGUUUGCCUACAGUCUCUUUGAUUACUCACCAGGCGGUGCGGCUGACUAGGUUUGUUUGCAUAAGGACCUCCCUCAGCCUGCUUUCUGUCUCUCUAUGUUCUUAUUUAUUGCUCCUUUGACCAGAUACCCUAAAGCAGCAGGGAUUCUUCUUCUACAUACUCUUAGAGCAUUUAGCUGAAUGUCAUGAGAAUUAUCCCAAGAAAGUUUAUUGAAAUAAACCUACAGAGUAUAAUGUUUCCUACUAGGAGAAAAAAAAAAAAGUUUGUAAAGUAACUGGAGGUCAGUCAUGGGACAAUUCAUUUCUACUGUGUUAAAAAACUUGUAAUUUUGUAUGGCAAAGCCAGAUGUCUUCACUUCUACAAGUAAUUUCAUUUUAAUUAGCUUUACAUUCACAGCUACCAAAACCUGGCUUUCAUAUAGACUUUGAGAAACCAAAAUUGAGGUGAAAGGUCAGCUUUAUAAACCCCUGAGUAAUUUGGUAGUGAUCAAAGCUUUGUAUAUUUAUUCUCUACUGGCUUCAUUUUUAUAAUAAAUGGUUCUUUUUAGAUUGUCAAGCUUUUUAAGAGAGGAAAAAUUCCCAGGAUUUUUUGCUUGUUUUGUAAAAGGUGAUAUUUUAAAUAUAAAAAAUCCUCUAAAGCUCUAGUUCUUUGGAUAAUAAAGCUUUCCAGUAGAAGAACUCAUACAGAAGGUUUUUUCAAAUGUAAUAUUUAAAAAUAAGCAGGAACUUGCCUUUUGUUUUGCCUAUCUUCCAGAUUAAAAAAAAAUCCAAAUAAAAAAACCAAAAAACAAACAAACAAACCCACCACAAAUAAAAAACUCCCAAAACCAAACCAAACUAAACCAAAUCAAACUGACCAACAAACAAAUAAUCAAUCAAUCAAAACUAAAACAAAAACUCAAAAAAACCUAAACCCAAAAACCCAAAAAACUCAAAAAAGAACUGACCAGAGUAUUCCUUCCUUCACAUUGUCUUAGCUGAUCCAUCUAGACAUCUGUAUGAUGAUCUUUGAUUUCUUUAAUCUGCAUUCAGAUGGAAUAAAAUAUCACUUUCCUUGCACAAUCUUUGAAAUGUGUCAUCUCAGCAAUAUGCCCACUUCUAGCAGUUUAUCAGAAGGGAGUUAAUGGGAGUGGGAUCUACGCAGAGGUGUUUCAAGAAUGGACAAUUAAAAUGGAAUCAGUUUAAGUUUUGAAAGGGUUAGAAACAAAGAGAAUUUCACCUCUUCUACCACCAGCUUUUGUUUGUCAGAAACAUUUUGUAGUAUAUAGUUUAAUUUCUCUUCAGCCUGGUGAAUCAAACAAGUGUCUCAUGCUUGCCACUGCCAUGUUAAGAGUAGAUAUGUACAGAAACACCUCAGUUCUCAGUCUUCUCAGUCCUGUUUUGCUGGGAAGGGAGCCUUUGUGAAAGAAACAAUAUGUAGACUUAACCAUUCUUCCUCCCAAAAAACAUUUCAGUAAUUUUGUCUCAAUACAAGACCUGGAAAAGUCUUCUGUAUCUUUAGGAGGGGCCACUAGAAAAGUUCUGAAAUGGUCCAAUGUUUCUGGUUAUUCUGCUCUUGUGUCAAAGUAAUUGGCAAUAUUUGACCUGAUGGUUGGGUGCAGGAGCAGAUGUGUGUUAUCUUGGUGCAUGGGGAGAACCAGUUUUCAGCAGGAUCAUUGAACAGGACUCAACUGAGCACCUCCGCAAAACCAGUCCAUGGUCUUGAGCACCAGGAUUCAGCAGGAAAGAGGAGACAACAAAGUUUGGUGACAUCCUUGAGAAUUGUGUACCUAGAAAAUAUCAUCAGCCUAUCUCUGUAUCUCAGCAAACUCCUAGGCAGGUGGGCCAAAGGAUGGGAAUGGCUGUCUUAGAAUAGCUCAAUUGUCCUGGCGACUGUGAAACUGCUUCACUUUAAAUAUUCUUAGAUGUCUUACUGACAGUCCUACUAACUGAGGCUCACAGGCUAAGUGAAUCCUUACCAGUUUUCAGAUGAAACAAAAUCUGGGAGGAAUGACUGAACAGCAAGUGGUUGUGUGGCCAUUCAGAGGGACCCUGACUUCGAUAGCUACUGACACAAGUGUGGCUUGUGCAGGGCCUGUGUGAGCAGCACAGCACAUCUAAGCAGCAAACGGGCAGUUUUUAUAUCAAGACAGAGGAGCAAACCUCAUAUUGCCAUUGCUUAUUCUCAUCAGCACUGAAAAACUCAGAAGUGUAUGGAGCUCAACUCCGAAAGAGUGCGAGGACAGGAUUCUUCUCUUGUGACUGCAGCUCUUAGUUCAGGGCAGAAGAUUUCAAGGAUCUCUUGAUCAGCUCUCUCAGGAGAUGUGUGACCUUGGGUCAUGUGGCACAUAAGAGCUUUCCUUUGGCUACAAAAAAAAGUUUUCUGAAAAAAAACAGAGAAGACAGACAAGGGGGAUGUGUGCAGCAGCACAUUAUUUGCAGCUGUGGAGAGGCACUGGCCCUGAAACUGCAGUGAACUUCCAGCACUAGACUACCUUUAUGCAUGCAGGUGAUACAUAGCCAGUGCAAAUGGCACUGUGCAUGGUAAAAGCAGAGAGUUGGUCACAGACCUCACAACAUCAGGGUUAGAUGAUUUAUCCACAUUUGCAUGACCAGCUGUAGUGGGUUAGCCCCAGUCCAACACAGCCACUCACUUAUUCACUCCCCACUAAUAGGAAUGUGAAAGGGUAUCAAAAGGGUAAACAUGUGAAAACUUGGGGGUUGAGAUAAAGACACUGUAACAGAUAAAACAAAAGCUGUGCUACCAAGUAAAGCAAAACAAGGAAUUCCUUCACUGCUUUUCAAAGGCCAGCAGGUGCUCAGCCUCCCCUAGAAGAUCAGGGAUGUUUUCUGUCCAUUACAUGUAAUAGCUGUUCAAAAGGCAAACAGUACAACCCUGGACAUCCCCACCUUCCUCCUUCUUUCCUGCAGUUUUUAUUGCUCAGCAUGGUGUAUGGAAUAUUCCUUUGGUCAUCUGGUGUCCACUGUGUCACCUCAACUUCUUGUGCAUUCCCACCCUGCUUCCUGUGGUGUAGCAUGGCAGAGAAGUUCUCACACUGUGCAAACAUUGCUCAGAAAUAACAAAAGCACCACUAUGUUACCAACAAUUUUUUGUCACAAAUCCAAAAUAUUGCACCAUAAUAACUGCUAUAAGGAAAAUUAACUUCAUCCCACCCAAAACCAGCACACCAGUAGUGUUAGCCUGGAAUUUGGCCUAGUUACCCAAAAUCCAGGAACAGAGAUUUCUUAAAGUAGGAACAGGCCUGCUUCCCUUUGACAUCACACUCAACACAUGUUCCUUUAUUUACGGUAACUGAAAAUUUCAGCAGGUUUCUGCAUAAGCUUUAGUGUGUGCCUUGCAGCAAGGUCUACCUAGUUCAACAAGGACAGUUUUCCCUGUGACACAUAACUGCACUGCUGUUUCUUCCCUAUGGAUGUCUGGUGUGCUCCCACCAUGGAGCAAGGACUAAGAGCCAACCUGCUACUAGAUAGCUUUAUAUGACAAACAUUCAGUGUUGUGCUUCUGUCAGAAAUAAGCCACCCUGGCAACGUGCCACCUACCGCUUUUUGGAUGGAUGACAGAUCUAAAGGAGGUUUCAUUAAACAAGGCUCUGCUCAUACCUGCUGCAGUUUUGAACCUGAUUAAAAUGCUUCUGGCAAAUCAGAUGAAGCAGACUUGGAUGUGAGAGACUGGAAGUUUCCUUAGAAUUACUACAACAGGGCUGAGGUUUAACACCAUUCUCGCAAGUUGGAUUCAUUUCCUUGGGAGUUAAGUUCUUGGUGUUUGCUUGGUAGAUGCUGCUUCAUUUAUUUCAGCUUCUGCCUUCUGUGUUACUUUGAGCUGCAGCCUCCAUGAAGUCAGAAGAUCUCUAGUCUCAGCUGCAUCACAAGGAGUGUCCUUUUUAGACAGCUAAAUAUAUCACCAUGAUUUGAAUUUUCUUCUAGGAUUUGUGAAUUGAAUAAAUGGGUUUUCCAUUCCCUCUGCACUGACAUGCAAUUGAGAAAGCUUGACCUUUACCUGCUGAAUACCCAUUGAAUAGCCUGACAAUAAUUCAGUCCUCAGAACUGUAAUGAGAUUUCCCAGACUUGUUUGUCUGCUAAUUACAUAGUUAUCCUAUGCUGGGAGUCAAAAAGGGAGCUGGUCACCAAUUAACCAUGACAUUGCUGCUGUUUUUCUGUCCCAAAGUGACCUGACAUGUCCCACUGAUCUUCUCCUUGGGUCUUCAGGAAGCCUACACUAUAUUAUUCUGUACUUUUCCACUAAUAUAUGCUGUAGGAGACAAAUGUAAUGAAACUCAGUGCAAGACCUUAUGGGAGGGUGAGGUGCUAUUUUUAAACUGUCUCUAAGUAGGUUAAAGCUUGGCACUUACACGUUCACAUCAAGUCACCAGCACCAAGAGGAGUGUGCCCAGCUGCUCUGACUAAGAUCAGUGAUGUAUGUAUGACACAGAGGAAAACGGAUGCUUACUCUUGAGUUUCCACUGUGUCUCUUGGGUUUGUCGUGAUAGGCUCUUGGAUAAACUGGUUUUCAUACACUUCAUGAAGCCUCAGCUAUUUUACAUUGACACUUACUUGAACCUUCAUAAACAAGCCCAUUGUCCUAGUUUCCUGAUUUUCAGACAAUUUUAAGAGUGCAGUGUGUUUUCCUGUGGAGAUAGAAGGAAAAUAAUCAGCAUAGGAUAUGCUAUAACUGUGUUGCUAUCUUUUCUUAAGAAAGGUGUCAGUGACUGGUCAUGCAUGAGCUGUGACCUUACAAGAGCAGUCAUUUUCUGGGGUCAAUUAAAAAAUAUCUGUCUGCCAGUGUUUAGCAGUUUGAUUGUUUCCUAUGUCCUUGGUUACCAAUGCAGUCUGUUCAUGUAAACCUCCUCUGCUGUUUCUUGGGUGCAUGCACACACACACACACAAGUGUACGCUUUUUAAAUAUUUCAUCUUUCAGACCAGUUGUUCUCUGUCUAUUAAAAAUCUUCUUAAACUCCCUCAAAACCAGUGCUUCACUGUUGAAGCCAGUAAUUUUUUCAGACCUUCAACCUCAUUCACCUCCAAAAAUACAGGACACUACCAGGAACUGAGAGUCAAAGGACUCCUUAUAAGACGCUGGUAGCACAGAAAUGAAUUAUUUUUAUUAUUUUGACUAGGAAAAUCUAAGCCUUUGUAAGGAUGAAGCUAUCUGGGAAGGAACUAGUUCUGAACUGCCAGUCAUUCCCACUGCAACAUCCCCACUCUACACCUAGCAAAUAUUGACCCUAUCAGCAUCCUUUUCUGCAAUCCCUGGGAAGUGAGAUCAGCUCUUUAGGGACAAGAGCUCUUCCCUGGGUAUCCAAACAUUUCUGAUUGAUAGGAGAGAUAUCUAGCCGUGUAAGUUGUACUAGCCAAUGGAUGAACACGGCAGGUACAAAUGUUGGGUUGCAAGCCAAAGUCCAAUGUCUGGCUCUGGUCUGGCCUUACAUGGGCAUGGAAUUCCACUUGCUCAUGAAGUCUCGGUUCAGGAAAAUAUUCCAUCCAGGCAUGAUCAGUAUUUCUCUGAAAAAAUCUCCUAAGAGGAUCAUAUGGGACUGAUACCUCAUCUAGAGCUAGGACAUUAAAAAUCACAUUUCUCUUUUGAAAGUGAAAGGGAAAAACCAGUCCAGAGAAACCUGGUCGUGUGCUUGGAAACCUGGCUUUGAUUGUUCCUGCUUCCAUCCUCACUUUGUGAGUUGGGAUAGAUCUUCCUCUGGAUACACUGCUGUUCUUCUCAUGGGUCAAACUUCUCUCAUGCCCUCCUUUAGUAAUGAUCUCAACAGAUCUACUUGACCUUGCUGGUGAACUUCAGGUGUUGUGGUAUGAUGCCGUACUGUUAAUAUUGGACCUGCUGGUUUGUAUUAGGAGCAAGGGCUCACUCUACAUUCAUUUCCAGACACUUGUGUUCAAAUUCUGCUCCUGCAGAAAGGUGAUGACUUUCUUGUUUUGCUUAUCUUUUCUCUUCGUGGUGUAGGACUGUCUUCAUGGGUAUAUCUUUAUAAGGUGUGAAAGAAAUACAUGUCCAAUGAAUUUUCAAUAAAUGAAUAGGGCACUUUGAAAUUCAUGCACACAACAGGCAGCAGACUUUUAGUGCCUCCCAGAGUUCAAUUUCUAGUUUUUAUUUAAUUUUCUAGCAAUAGUGAAAUCUCGUAUGGCAUGGAGCAAAAGGCAAAUCUCAUAUCCACAAGAGUAUAUUCAUUUAAAGUUAGCUUAUGAAGUAAUUUUAUAACAGAGGUAGCUCCAAGUGGAAAAAAAAGUGUGAAGAUUAAUUCAGUUGAGUCUCUCACCAUUUAAAAUUGAAUGGGAAAGAAACCCAAACAUGCACCAAUUUAAUAUAAUGUCAAUUCCUUGAAAACUCUCCUGAGUAGAUUCUUUAUUUCCUAGUAGAGAUUCUUAUUACAAUUAGUCUCUCAUGAAGACUUAAUAAAAUCUGAUUCUCCUCUAACAAGCCAACAAUUUCCAUGAAAUUAAUCAAAACUAACAAUAUGAGACUUUUGUGUUGCUUGAGGUUUCUGAUGGAUUAGAAAGUCAUGGAAUGGA